UGGAUAGAUUAUUGUAUUCGACUGUAUUCACGACAUGAAAUAGGGGAUUACACUGUUUUUAAAACGGAAAGUGAAUCACUUAACAUAAUAGACUCCU
rnacentral:pre_miRNA from 1 species